rnacentral:rRNA from 1 species
UACGUAGGGACCGAGCGUUGUCCGGAAUCAUUGGGCGUAAAGAGCGUGUAGGCGGCUAUUUAAGUCCUGCGUGAAAUCCUGCGGCUCAACCGCAGACGGUCGUGGGAAACUGGAUGGCUAGAGUGCGGGAGAGGAGAGUGGAAUUCCCGGUGUAGCGGUGAAAUGCGCAGAUAUCGGGAAGAACACCCGUGGCGAAGGCGGCUCUCUGGAACGCAACUGACGCUGAGGAGCGAAAGCAUGGGGAGCGAACAGG